rnacentral:rRNA from 1 species
AGUGAACGUUGGCGGCGUGGAUUAGGCAUGCAAGUCGAGCGAGAACCGUAGCAAUACGGGGACAGCGGCGAAAGGGACAGUAAUGUGUAGGUACCUACCCCGAGGUCUGGGAUAGCUGCGGGAAACUGCAGGUAAUACCGGAUAAUGUCUUCGGACCAAAGGUGUGAUUCCACCUUGGGAGGGGCCUGCAUCCUAUUAGCUUGUUGGCGGGGUAACGGCCCACCAAGGCGACGAUGGGUAGCGGGUGUGAGAGCACGACCCGCGUCAUUGGGACUGAGACACUGCCCAGACACCUACGGGUGGCUGCAGUCGAGGAUCUUCGGCAAUGGGCGAAAGCCUGACCGAGCGACGCCGCGUGCGGGAUGAAGGCCUUCGGGUUGUAAACCGCUGUCGUAGAGGAGGAAAUGCAGGGGGUCUCCCUUCUGUUU